rnacentral:rRNA from 1 species
GGCGAGUGGCGAACGGGUGAGUAAUACAUCGGAACGUGCCCAAUCGUGGGGGAUAAUUGCAACGAAAGCUGUGCUAAUACCGCAUACGAUCUACGGAUGAAAGCAGGGGAUCGCAAGACCUUGCGCGAAUGGAGCGGCCGAUGGCAGAUUAGGUAGUUGGUGAGGUAAAGGCUCACCAAGCCUUCGAUCUGUAGCUGGUCUGAGAGGACGACCAGCCACACUGGGACUGAGACACGGCCCAGACUCCUACGGGAGGCAGCAGUGGGGAAUUUUGGACAAUGGGCGAAAGCCUGAUCCAGCCAUGCCGCGUGCAGGAUGAAGGCCUUCGGGUUGUAAACUGCUUUUGUACGGAACGAAACGGCCUUUUCUAAUAAAGAGGGCUAAUGACGGUACCGUAAGAAUAAGCACCGGCUAACUACGUGCCAGCAGCCGCGGUAAUACGUAGGGUGCAAGCGUUAAUCGGAAUUACUGGGCGUAAAGCGUGCGCAGGCGGUUAUGUAAGACAGUUGUGAAAUCCCCGGGCUCAACCUGGGAACUGCAUCUGUGACUGCAUAGCUAGAGUACGGUAGAGG